UACGUAGGGUGCGAGCGUUGUCCGGAAUUAUUGGGCGUAAAGAGCUCGUAGGUGGUUUGUCGCGUUGUUCGUGAAAACUCACAGCUCAACUGUGGGCGUGCGGGCGAUACGGGCAGACUAGAGUACUGCAGGGGAGACUGGAAUUCCUGGUGUAGCGGUGGAAUGCGCAGAUAUCAGGAGGAACACCGAUGGCGAAGGCAGAUCUCUGGGCCGUAACUGACGCUGAGGAGCGAAAGCGUGGGGAGCGAACAGG
rnacentral:rRNA from 1 species